CGCAUGGUUCUAUUUUGUUGGUUUCUAGGACCAUCGUAAUGAUUAAUAGGGACGGUCGGGGGCAUCAGUAUUCAGUUGCUAGAGGUGAAAUUCUUAGAUUUACUGAAGACUAACUACUGCGAAAGCAUUUGCCAAGGACGUUUUCAUUAAUCAAGAACGAAAGUUAGGGGAUCGAAGAUGAUCAGAUACCGUCGUAGUCUUAACCAUAAACUAUGCCGACUAGGGAUCGGACGGUGGUUUUUUUAUGCCCCGUUCGGCACCUUACGAGAAAUCAAAGUGUUUGGGCUCCAGGGGGAGUAUGGUCGCAAGGCUGAAACUUAAAGAAAUUGACGGAAGGGCACCACCAGGGGUGGAGCCUGCGGCUUAAUUUGACUCAACACGG
rnacentral:rRNA from 1 species